UAUAUAAUAUAACACGUGACACUGAGAAAUCAUCACACAACAAGAUAGCAUCAGACAGAAAGAAAUAUACCAGACAGCAUUAUUUGUGGUGAGAGAGCACAAUGAUCUUCCGCGUGUUGCUUCUGGGUCUUCUCAUGUCAGCCACUCUGACUAAAGGUCUACCCAUGCCGGUCCUCCAUAGACGUACUGACGUGUCCUCUGCAUCUGCUGAAGAACGGCCUUCUUUGCAAUCAUCAUUCGUGUCCUCGGAGUGGAGAAAAAGAUAUGGGCGAGAUGGUUUGAGCACUACGUGGUUUAAUUAUACACUGUGAUAAAGGGAGAUAUCGAAAGAGGAUGGAAACAACGGUCGCAAUGGAAGCCUGAUGUCUUUGACUGUGCAGGACCAGAUCAUUCUCUAACGGAAUGGGAAACGCAUUUGUACGAAUCGGAAAAUAAAAUGCUGGAAUUCUUUAAAACAG